GUGCCAGCCGCCGCGGUAAUACGGAGGAUCCAAGCGUUAUCCGGAAUCAUUGGGUUUAAAGGGUCCGUAGGCGGGAGAUUAAGUCAGUGGUGAAAGUUUGUGGCUCAACCAUAAAAUUGCCAUUGAUACUGGUUUUCUUGAGUUAUUGUGAAGUGGUUAGAAUGAGUAGUGUAGCGGUGAAAUGCAUAGAUAUUACUCAGAAUACCGAUUGCGAAGGCAGAUCACUAACAAUGAACUGACGCUGAUGGACGAAAGCGUAGGUAGCGAACAGGAUUAGAAACCCCAGUAGUCC
rnacentral:rRNA from 1 species